GAUGAACGCUGGCGGCGUGCCUAAUACAUGCAAGUCGAGCGAACAGACGAGGAGCUUGCUCCUCUGACGUUAGCGGCGGACGGGUGAGUAACACGUGGAUAACCUACCUAUAAGACUGGGAUAACUUCGGGAAACCGGAGCUAAUACCGGAUAAUAUAUUGAACCGCAUGGUUCAAUAGUGAAAGACGGUUUUGCUGUCACUUAUAGAUGGAUCCGCGCCGCAUUAGCUAGUUGGUAAGGUAACGGCUUACCAAGGCAACGAUGGGUAGCCGCCCUGAGAGCGAGGUCGGCCAGAUUGGCUGAGAGACACGUCCCACACUCCGACGGGGGGCCACAGCAGGGACUCUUACGCAAGGCACGAGUGCGUAACAGAGCAAAGCGGGGUAAGUGAUGAUGGACUUAGGACCGUAAAGCUAUGUUAUCCGGAAAGAACAAAUGUGUAAGUAACUGUGCACGUAUUGACGGUACCUAAUGAAAAAGCCCCGGCUAACUCCGUG
rnacentral:rRNA from 1 species